CCUCUGUCCCCUCCGUUGUCACUGGGCGGGGAUUCGGUGUGCGCUGCGUGGAGGAGAGGUGUUGUUGCUACUAUUGUCAUUGCGAAUACUGGUUGACUACUGCCACUGCUUUUAAUAUUUAUCCUCCCCGCGAUGACUUACGAGGAGACGCAGCCAGAGACGAGGCGAGGAGCAGAGCCAGCGCUGCCUCGUGGAAACGCGCCAUCCUGUCCCUCCUGCUGUCGAUCAAAGAAAAAAGUGCCUUUCUCUUUCCAAGAAACAACCUCAGAAGAAGGCAAGGCUCGUUGGGAACGUCACGUGGCUGUGUAAUGUUUUCCUUAAAACAAGUAAGUGAUAAGUAAUUGUUGCUUCUUAGCAAGAGAGACAGAACAAGGGAUAUCCUAAAUGCAUCAUUUAAAUAAGGUUUAUAAUAUUUCGAGAAUCUUAUUGUAUCAAUGAUUAUUUUUAUGUGACCCUUGCAUUAUCUCAAAUUAA